rnacentral:lncRNA from 1 species
ACCCCCUAACUAGGACUGCAAGUGGGUCGGAUCGAUUCAUGACCCAACCCAACCCCACUUAGACCCAACCAGAUCCAAAUUUUAGAACCCGCGGCGCCGGAUCAAAUUCUAAAUUUGAGCCUGUUCUAUUUUUCGGGUCGGAUCUGGGUCAACCCAAUCUCAACCCGACCCGAACCUUUUUUUGGAGGUCAAUUUAGAUCUUUUACCCAAAGACCCAAUCUAACCCGACGCAAAUCCGAAUUACCCAUUUAGACCCAAACACCCCUCAUGCCCCCCUCGGUCCACCCCAUCCAUUGCCUCCUCUCCCGAGUGAUGAUGUACUCUCUCCUUCACCAAACCCUAAACUAUCUCCAGAUAUCUCUCGAAUUCUCGACUCUGAGAGGCAACAGCGGUCAUCAGAUCCAAGAUUGUUGCUGCUCUCCUCAUGGUUGUGCUCGUCGUCAUCUUCCUCGCCGGCAGAGCCAUUGCGGCGGACACUCCUGCCCCGAGCAGCACCUCCACCGCUGGUCCCGUCGCUCUUUCCCUCGCCAUCGCUGUCGUCGCCUCAUCCAUUGCGCUUCUCCUCGAAUCUUUCCGCCACUGAGAUCUCCACUGAUGCUGGGUCAGAUCCGUAAAUCUCUGCAGCUCGGCAGCUUUUCCGAUUUGAGUUUUGUGAUAGACGGUGCCUUUCUUAGUCUAGAUACUUCAUAUAUGUGGUUAUUUAGAGAUUUUGGUUGGUUUUUUCUCCCAGCAUUGUUCGAGUCACAUCUCCCUAGACGUCUUUUGUGGUUCUUUGUGGUUAGAUCUGAACCUUAAGGUAAUAAGGGAUGUAAUAAGGAUGCAUGCGUCUAGGAUUCGUUCUCUCUGAGAGAUUUUGUAGAUUUGUUACUUCUACUACAUGGAUCUACAUUAUUUGGUGUUCUUUUUGUCCACCUUAGCUUUGAUUCUUGAUGGAUUUGGUAUUUGUAACGAAUGAUCCGGUACUUUAAUGCUGCAUUAUUGAUAUGCAUAAUCCGGAUCCGACCCAGAUCCAAAUUUUGAGUCGGAUCUGGAUUAUACAUGGAUUCAAUCCAAUCCGAAUAACCUCUUGAGUCAAAAAUUGUAGCUCUGGAUCCCGCCUGGUCUUCAAUUGAGUCAAAUCUGGAUUAGAAUCCGAACAAAAAGCCAGAUUGAAUUGGGGUCACUCAAGACUCGACCCAUUUGCAUCCCUACCCUCAAACUGAAACUGUUCCGUAUAUCCUCCGGAAUGAGAGCUCAGCCACCUGAGCCCCCUUUCUACCAGCCUGAAUGCCUUUGCGACACCUUCAACAAAAUGGCAGAUGACCAAGUGGUACUGUAAGUAACCAAAAAAAAUGCUCACACCUUCAAUGAGCCUGGAUUGUCCAAAUGCACAUGUUACCAAGACUCACUAAUCAAGAAAAAAGCUGCUGCAGCCCUUCAUCAGUACACUAGAAACUACAUUCCGACAAGGUGCCAAAGAGAGAUGAGAGCCCUUAAAAUAGUUCCUCAUAAGUUUUGAUACUCGUUCAUAACACAAUUUUGACACUUAUCCUUGCACCACCGGACACUAAAAGAGGACACCACAUCAAACUUAUUGAGAUGCUUUAAUACCAGUUCAGGAUAUCUAAAUAUAACUCGCUACUUAAUAUUAUUUUCCUUCUCACUCCUCAAGUGCUUUUAGCUUCCGAUAACCUUUAUCAGUGCCAAAUAACCUGAUAGUGGUGAAAAGUUCGAUUGGUUAGAAGAUCGUUCUACAAGUCAUACAACAACAAUAUUGAUAUAUGGCAGUUUUGAAAAGCAUAUCUGAGAUGCUAACUUCUGAAGUCCAAAUGCAAUGGAUUAGUCUUGGGAAACAAAAACAACCAGAGGGAAAGACGUUGGUUUUCAUAAAACAUGCCCAUGGUCUCAGAACCAUGUUCUCUCAAUAUACAAAUUGUACAAGCAAGAUUUGUGACUUACACUCUAUUAAAGGUGACUGAUUUAAUUAGCCAAAUAAACUAAACCAGCAAAUUUUUGCAUGUCAAUUAGGAAUGCCAUGUUCUUUUUGUCUCUAGCAUCCGGAAAGAAUAUAUUAAUAGAUGAACCUACGAAGGUGGCACAAAGAUAUACAUAAAGAAAAGAAAGUUCAUGUUUAUAGAUUGUUCUAGCGUGCCACCUGCAAAGGUGGCACAAAGAUAUAUAAUUAUUUAAUCAGCCAAAUCCAUGAAAAACCAACUGGCAAAUUUUUGCAUGUGCCAAUUAGGAAUGCCAUGUUUUUUUACCCUGAAAUCUGGAAAGAAUAUAUUCCAACAGAUGAACCUGCAAAGGUGGAACCUAGAUAUUCAUGAAGAAGAGAAAUUUAUGUUUUUAGAAUGUUCUAGUGCUCUCAAUUGAAUUAAUUUGCUUUCUGAAAACAAUUUUGUUAAAGCUAGAUUCUGGUGCCUUUUCAUUUUCCUGCUGGGAUCUAGCAGUCACAAAAAACCAUAACCAUCAGAUCUUGUCCUAACUAUUUUGGCAGGAUUGGCGACUUUAAAACUCUCUUGAAUUACACCAGAAGUGGUGACCACAAGGCUGCAUCCUUGAAGAGAAAUAAGGCAUGGGACAUGCACCAAACCAAAGGCCAACGUAGGAACCAAUCAUGAUGCAAUUUGAUGACCAAGGAAUCUGUUAACUCUAUCACCAAGGAUAUAGCAAGGUGUACUUCUAGAGAAUGUUGCAUGUGAAGUUUCGCUGAUCCAAUUGUCUGUGUAUUAUGUCCAUUGUUUGUUAGCCUCUGUUGUUGUUUACAAAUAACUAUAUGUACCAUAUAAUGAGAUUUUAAGUGUACAUGUUGAUUGAUAGUGAUUGAAGGCAGGUCCUAUUGUCAUUUAAUUAGCCUCUAAAAAUAUGAAAAUUAGAUGGUGCAACAGCUGUCAUGACUAUGACAAUGCAAAUUGCUAUCUAACUGAUUCAUAGUAUACAUGCACAACAAUAUACACUCACCAGUCCAUGUAGAUGAAAGUUGAUGAGUAAUUUCCAGACUUGGUGUAGAGCACACGAUGAUGGUAGUCAUGAAAUUCCGCACUAUAACAUCAACCAACCAGGUGUCAGGAGAUGAACACCACAACUCAGAAAGGCUUCAACUGGGAGAUCAAAACGGAAAAGGUUGUAACUCACCCUCCAUAUAAUGGCAAGAAUUUGGCAGGGCUCCAUGGGAAGUGGUAUCCACUAUGAGCCUCAACUGUCUCCAGGACUCUCAAUAUCACCCAUAACCACAGAGUGAGCAUAUGCGGACCAGUGAGAGCAGGACCAAUAAUGGUUGCAAAGCCAAGAAAUAAUAUUUCAGCAGGAUGGGCAUAUUCAGAAGUUAAUCCAAAUGGAGUAGCAUAUCUGCAUAAUACGUACAUAUAAGGAGAGUAGUAAUGAACGAACAAACUGUAGAAGUAAUGCUACGUACUCAUGAUGAAUACUGUGGACAUGCUUGUAUAGCCAUUUUGUGUGCAGCACUCUAUGUCCCCAGUAGAACACAAAGU